UAUAGUCAGUGGGGAAAUCUCUUUGCUUAACAAGGAAAUUGCCAUUGAAACUGUUAGACUUGAGAAUGGACGAGGUAGGCGGAAUUCGUAGUGUAGCGGUGAAAUGCAUAGAUAUUACGAAGAACUCCAAUAGUGUAGACUGCUUACCAGACCAUAUCUGACACUAAGGCACGAAAGUGUGGGUAUCAAACAGGAUUAGAUACCCUGGUAGUCCACACAGUAAACGAUGAAUACUAACUGUUUGCGAUAUACAGCAAGUGGUCGAGCGAAAGCGUUAAGUAUUCCACCUGGGAAGUAUGCCGGCAACGGUGAAACUCAAAGGAAUUGACGGGGGCCCGCACAAGCGGAGGAACAUGUGGUUUAAUUCGAUAAUACGCGAGGAACCUUACCCGGGCUCGAACGAUAUUUGAAUACAUCCGAAAAGAUGUAGCUAGCAAUAGCAAAUACCGAGGUGCUGCAUGGUUGUCGUCAGCUCGUGCCGUGAGGUGUCGACUUAAGUGUCAUAACGAGCGCAACCCUUACCGAUAGUUACCAUCAGAUAAUGCUGGGGACUCUAUUGGGACUGCCACCGUAAGGUGUGAGGAAGGAGAGGAUGACGUCAAAUCAGCACGGCCCUUAUGUCCGGGGCGACACACGUGUUACAAUGGGAGAAACAAAGGGUCGCUACCUGCCAACAGGAUGCUAAUCUCGAAAAUCUCUCUCAGUUCGGAUUGGAGUCUGCAACUCGACUCCAUGAAGCUGGAUUCGCUAGUAAUCGCACAUCAGCCAUGGUGCGGUGAAUACGUUCCCGGGCCUUGUACACACCGCCCGUCAAGCCAUGGAAGCUGGAAGUACCUGAAGUAUGUAACUAAAAGAGCGU
rnacentral:rRNA from 1 species